rnacentral:rRNA from 1 species
UACGUAGGAGACGAGCGUUGUCCGGAAUUACUGGGCGUAAAGCGCGUGUAGGCGGAUGGGCAAGUCUGCUGUGAAAGCUCCUGGCUUAACCGGGAGUGGUCGGUGGAAACUGCCAAUCUGGAGGACGGUAGAGGUAGGUAGAAUUCCCGGUGUAGUGGUGAAAUGCGUAGAGAUCGGGAGGAACACCAGUGGCGAAGGCGACACGCUGGGCCGUACCUGACACUGAUGCGCGACAGCAUGGGGAGCAAACAGG